GAUGAAGAACGUAGCGAAAUGCGAUAAGUAAUGUGAAUUGCAGAAUUCAGUGAAUCAUCGAAUCUUUGAACGCACAUUGCGCCCGCCAGUAUUCUGGCGGGCAUGCAUGUUCGAGCGUCAUUACAACCCUCAGGCCCCCGGGCCUGGCGUUGGGGAUCGGCGGAAGCCCCCUGCGGGCACAACGCCGUCCCCCAAAUACAGUGGCGGUCCCGCCGCAGCUUCCAUUGCGUAGUAGCUAACACCUCGCAACUGGAGAGCGGCGCGGCCACGCCGUAAAACACCCAACUUCUGAAUGUUGACCUCGAAUCAGGUAGGAAUACCCGCUGAACUUAAGCAUAUCAAUAAGCGGAGGA
rnacentral:misc_RNA from 1 species